GCAAACUUGGUCAUUUAGAGGAAGUAAAAGUCGUAACAAGGUUUCCGUAGGUGAACCUGCGGAAGGAUCAUUAAUGAAUUAUAACGCUGAGGUUGUAGCUGGCCUUUCAGUCGAGAGGUAUUGUGCACGCCUUGGUAAUUCCAAAUUCUUAUACCUCUGUGCACUUUACAUGGGAGAUUUAUUGGUUGGGUGAGAAAGGAGGGCUUUGGCCCUCCCGGUAAUUCGACUCAAUAAUCUUCUGUGGUUCCAUACAAUUCAUACCAAUCAGUUUAGAAUGUAGUACCGCGUCUAACGCAAACUAUAUACAACUUUCAGCAACGGAUCUCUUGGCUCUCGCAUCGAUGAAGAACGCAGC
rnacentral:misc_RNA from 1 species